rnacentral:rRNA from 1 species
AUUGAACGCUGGCGGCAGGCCUAACACAUGCAAGUCGAGCGGAGCGGCGGACGGGUGAGUAAUGCCUAGGAAUCUGCCUGGUAGUGGGGGAUAACGUCCGGAAACGGGCGCUAAUACCGCAUACCAUCAGAUGUGCCCAGAUGGGAGUAGCUAGUAGGUGGGGGAACUGCUCCCCUAGGCGACGAUCCCUAGCUGGUCUGAGAGGAUGACCAUCCACACUGGAACGGAGACACGGGCCAGACUCCUACGGGAGGCAGCAGUGGUGAAUAUUGCCCAAUGGGCGCAAGCCUGAUGCAGCCAUGCCGCGUGUAUGAAGAAGGCCUUCGGGUUGUAAAGUACUUUCAGCGGGGAGGCGUUACCCGCAGAAGAAGCACCGGCUAACUCCGUGCCAGCCGCCGCGGUAAUAC